rnacentral:misc_RNA from 1 species
GUGAGGGCUGGAAAAAACAUUGACAUUGAGCGUGGAGGAUUUAAGGGAGCGGGUGGCUGCGGACUACGUCAGCGCACUGCAGCCCCCGAGGUUUGUUUACUUAUUGUCCCAUGGAUGUAAUAUACGAACUACCCGAGGACAACAGUAGCGAUAAGGGAUCAAUAGACUUACAGCUGAACGAUUCCGCCUCUGCUCACUCCACUUCCAGUGAGGCUAAGGCAACCGGUGGGGGUACAAUGGACAGGCUGAAAUCCUGGUACGGCUCUCUCCGAGGGAAAAAGAGGGUUCCUGUUCAGUUAAAUGCGCGGGGUGAGUAUGAAACGGCGUCACUAGAUCGCGCCACCAGCAGGAAGGGGAAGAUCAGGCGCCACACAGUAGGGGGAUCAGGCAUCGCAGGGGACAUCAUGAGGGCCGAGGAAGAGGUGAAGUUAAAGCAGAGGGAUGCCCUAUUUGACCAUCUGGCCCAGAGGUACCCCCAACAUUCCAACACAAUACAGGGGUACCAUCAGAGAGUACCGGACCCUGCUAUGGAGGUUCGACCCUCAAGUGUUCAGAUGCAGAGAAGAAUGGUUGCUCAGGACCAACGCCAGCAUUACGGAUACGAAGAAGAGGAUGAUGGAAUUAUGUCUGAGGCAGAAACAGAGGCCACAGGAAAUUUUCGUCGAGGAGGAUUUGUCCGUUCCAGUCUCCCUAUGAGGUCCCCGCGUGGAGAAAGACCACCAGCCUUGGUAUUUUUGGUCUUCAACGGAGCCACAAAGCGAGCUCUCCUGCCUCCAGAGCUGGCUCACUUAGACACAAUCAAGGCUCUCUUUGCUCGCUCGUUUGGUGACCAACUCAACAUGAAGAUGUUAGAAAACCCCCGCAAGAAGAUCUUUGUCAUGGAUCCCAACAGCAACUACUAUCGCCCUCUAGAGGAUGUGAGAGAUAUCCGUGACCGUUGUGUUCUGAAGCUCCAUGACUUAGACAGUAAAGACACGCUUCAGACUAAGCCAGUUUACUAUGGCAACAGAAACUAUGAGGACCCUAGCUACUACUCUGAGCCAGAGUAUGACUCUGGAGUGUCUCACAUGCGCCGUCCACCCACCAAGUCACCCACGUAUCAUGGCUAUCCUCCACAACAGGUCCCUGGUCAAAGUCGCACACUACCACCACCUAGUGAGUACAUGUCACAUGACGAGAUUCAACGCAUGUUUCUACAGCAGCAGGUGGUGGCAGGCCGUCCUCCUGGGAGAGGCCCCACCCCCACAGGGCAGUGGGAGGGGCAGAGGGGAAGAACCACGCCCACGACUCAGCCAUAUGGACCUCCUCAAAGACCGCCCCCUUCACCAGGACCUCAUCAAGGCUACCCACCCCAACCCUCCAGACAGAUGGCAGCCCAGAGUUUACCCACCACCCCCAUCAUGCAGCGUGACCCCCGCACCAUGAAUUAUAACAAUGCGUACCAGAGCGGCACCAGGUCUGGGAAUGUGACCCCCACGCCUGGCAACGACCCUGGAACAAGAAUGCAGAUGGCCAAGAUGGAGGCACAGCUAGCCAACCUGACUGCCCUGGUCCAUAAUGUGGUCAGUAGACCAGGCAGUGCAGCCGGCAGUUUGACUGGGAGUCACAACAGUGGCAGUGCCUCUAGUAUAUCUGGUGGCUCCACCUCUACACCGCAGCCAGAGAUGAGUUCUGAGGUACAGGACUCCAUCAGAGGACUCCAGGCAAAGGCCAAGGAACUGAAGACAGAGUGUCGCAAUCUCAGACGGAUACAAGAGGCACAGGCUGAUAACAUACGGGAUACUAUAAGAGAAGCUUUUGAAAAAAUAAAGGAUGCCAUGACAGGAGUACCAGGGGCCUCUGGACACCCACUGAGAGCCAGACGGAGUAGAGCAGACGUCCAUUGUGACACAUUUAAACAGGACUGCAAGAGAGUGGAAAAUGAACUUGGUGAUCUAGAAUCAUCAGUUGAAGAACUUCGCAGUGAUGUCAUCAACAGACGGUGCAGGGUCAAUAUGGCUGACGUGGAAUCCAUGGCGCUGGCACUGAGUCAUAUUAGCAAAGCACUUGGAGAGUUGAAGGGUGGCUUCCCUGUGUUACAAGAGGAGCUGAAGACGGUAAUGACAGCAGAGAUGGAAGUGGUCGUUAAGGAAGAAAAAUAUUUGAAGGAUGAGCCAGAGAGACUGGAGAGUGCAUUAAAGAAGUGCAAAAAACUUACAGGAACUCUUUUUACUCUAAAAAGACUUGUCACUGAGCCGAGUCAAUCCCCGCCAAAGUCUAUCCUUAAAACCAGUAGCUCAUUUCGACGGCCCAAAACACUCGCGCCCAAUGGCGGAAAGGUUGGCUUCCGUACAGGAACACCGGACCCCAGUGGUGCCCCAGCUGAUGACAAUGACAGUUGGGGAAGACGAGAAGAAAGCUUUGUUUGAAAAUAUACAACACAUGAUUCCCAAUCACGAUGCCAGGAUGUUAAGUAUAGAGGCCUCUGAAAACUCGAGAGAAAGGAAGAAAAAGCUUGUCACAUCUCACGAAGUCCGAAAGUUUGAGAAGUCCCUGGAACUGGCCAGCAGGGCA